rnacentral:rRNA from 1 species
GAUGAACGCUGGCGGCGUGCCUAAUACAUGCAAGUCGAGCGAACAGACGAGGAGCUUGCUCCUCUGACGUUAGCGGCGGACGGGUGAGUAACACGUGGAUAACCUACCUAUAAGACUGGGAUAACUUCGGGAAACCGGAGCUAAUACCGGAUAAUAUAUUGAACCGCAUGGUUCAAUAGUGAAAGACGGUUUUGCUGUCACUUAUAGAUGGAUCCGCGCCGCAUUAGCUAGUUGGUAAGGUAACGGCUUACCAAGGCAACGAUGCGUAGCCGACCUGAGAGGGUGAUCGGCCACACUGGAACUGAAACACGGUCCAGACUCCUACGGGAGGCAGCAGUAGGGAAUCUUCCGCAAUGGGCGAAAGCCUGACGGAGCAACGCCGCGUGAGUGAUGAAGGUCUUCGGAUCGUAAAACUCUGUUAUUAGGGAAGAACAAAUGUGUAAGUAACUAUGCACGUCUUGACGGUACCUAAUCGGAAAGCCACGGCUAACUACGUG